rnacentral:rRNA from 1 species
AGAGUUUGAUCCUGACUCAGGAUGAACGCUGGCGGCGUGCUUAACACAUGCAAGUCGAACGAAGCACUUUAUUUGAUUUCCUUCGGGACUGAUUAUUUUGUGACUGAGUGGCGGACGGGUGAGUAACGCGUGGGUAACCUGCCUUGUAUAGGGGGAUAACAGUUGGAAACGGCUGCUAAUACCGCAUAAGCGCACAGCAUCGCAUGAUGCAGUGUGAAAAACUCCGGUGGUAUAAGAUGGACCCGCGUUGGAUUAGCUAGUUGGUGAGGUAACGGCCCACCAAGGCGACGAUCCAUAGCCGACCUGAGAGGGUGACCGGCCACAUUGGGACUGAGACACGGCCCAAACUCCUACGGGUGGCAGCAGUGGGGAAUAUUGCACAAUGGGCGAAAGCCUGAUGCAGCGACGCCGCGUGAGCGAAGAAGUAUUUCGGUAUGUAAAGCUCUAUCAGCAGGGAAGAUAAUGACGGUACCUGACUAAGAAGCACCGGCUAAAUACGUGCCAGCAGCCGCGGUAAUACGUAUGGUGCAAGCGUUAUCCGGAUUUACUGGGUGUAAAGGGAGCGCAGGCGGUGCGGCAAGUCUGAUGUGAAAGCCCGGGGCUCAACCCCGGUACUGCAUUGGAAACUGUCGUACUAGAGUGUCGGAGGGGUAAGCGGAAUUCCUAGUGUAGCGGUGAAAUGCGUAGAUAUUAGGAGGAACACCAGUGGCGAAGGCGGCUUACUGGACGAUAACUGACGCUGAGGCUCGAAAGCGUGGGGAGCAAA